rnacentral:rRNA from 1 species
AUAUGAGAUAUAAUAGGGCUAAAACUCUUAACCCAGCUUAAGCAUUUUGGGUGGUGGCAAGGCAAGAGGUUAAGAGAGUUAAGCGUGCUAGGACGGGAGUAGUCCUAGGAUGGGUGACCCCCUGGGAAGUUGGGGCGUCACAGAUG